GCCUGGGUUAAGAGAGCUUCUGCUUAUACUGAUGUCUCAUCAAAAACCAUGCCACUUAUGAAUUCCCAUCAAUGUCUUUGAUAAACCCAAGUUGGAAGGAAAUAAAAAAAGACUCUCACAAUCUACUAACUGCUAGUUAUCUAAUAGCUAGAAUUUAAUAAAUGCCACACACUGUGCUAAAUGCUUCACAGGCAUUAUCUUAGUUUGAUCCGUAGACAAACCUGUUUGAGAUAUGUGUUUGUUCCCCUUUUAAAGAUGAGGAGUGUGAGGCUCAUAAAUGGUGACUUUUACCUGUUCAAGCUGCUCAGCUUAUAAGGGGUGAAAUUUGGGAUUCAUACCCAGACAAUAUGGUUUCCAUGCCUUUCUCCACAGGCUACUGCUUCUCAGCUUCAGGAAUAUGGCCAGAAUGCCAUGUGAAGUUCUGUAAGUUAGUUCUUUAGACUAUCCAGGUUUCAUAGUAGCCUGGUAUCCUUAGGAGUGAAUUGCUUUCACUGUUUUUAAUUAACCUUAGGACUUACCCCGUGUAUCAAGUUUCUUACAGUCCCUUCUCCUGCUCUAACUUCUUAAAAUCCUCUGAGUUGAGGUUGGUGUUAUUUGGUCACAUAUGAGGAGGUCAGAAUCAAGAAUUAGAUGUUUACGCAUUCAGUAGAGAUUUACUGAGCACUAUACAAGAGCUUUAGCUUAGGUGUAAGCAACUCAAUGACUACGAAAGCAUGGAUUGUACCCUCAAGGACCCCAGGCAUCAUGUUACACUCCCCACUGUAUCUGCAGUUCUUAGCACUGUACAUGGCUCUGGGUUGGUCAUUUGUAAAUACUAAGUUUCGCAACUGAUGAUGUGGCCAGUGGAUGACUAUUGGUGAAGGGCAUGUUUUCUUUCUUUUUUUUUUAAUUUUUAAUUUUUUUUUUUUUGCUGAUUGUGACCUCAAAUUCUGCACUCUUAGAACAUUCUGAGCUUCUGUAGGUUUGAGAGGUAUCCUGGAAACUGACCCCAGAUGAAAAUUAAUCCUGCCCAUUUUUAUAGGAAAGCUGUGUUAUAAAAACCCAUGUGUUCAAGGGCAGCUAGGUCCUACCCGAGCCCGCCAAUGCCUCUUGCAGUCUGAAGGCUGUGUUCUCAUUGAGGUCAGCCACGUACUAGGAAGGAGGAUGAGACUACAGGACGGUCAGGGCAGAUAGCACAUCCUUCAGUCUCCGAUGAAAGAUGCAAAUGAAAACCGCCGUCAUGAAGACAUCUCUGGGGCACAAAACGGACAAAGCCCCUACCUGUCCAGAGAGUAUAAUCUCCACCCAUGCUGACAAAUAUGGCUGCCAUGAGCCUCAGAUCAAUAUUACUGAAAGGCCUUCCUGUCCCAGGCUUAUCGGAUAGACGGGCAACUCAUAUUGCCAUAAAUAUAUGAUGACUUUUUCAUCGCGUGUUAACGGUCUUCAGCAUUUCAGAAAGCACAAAUAUGUAGGCGGAUGGUACCUGUGUUUGCUAAUAGCUGUAUUUGUUUUAAUUUUAUGAUUGCCUUUAUUCCAUCUUUAGUUCUAAAAAGGCUUAUGAUAAGGGCACCGAUUCAGUAAACCAUGAGAUUGUUAAAACAAAAUAAAUCAUGUGAGUUUAACAAUGGAAGUGGGGGAGAAUAAUGGUAAGAAAGAAGAUGAUGGAGGGUAAAAAGUUAUACGAAGAAAUCAUAAGAUUUCAUUUACUCAAAUUUAUUAAGAAUCUUAAGGCUUUGGGAUUUUGACCGACGCCAAGGAGUAGGGAGGAAGAUAUAAAUAUGAUUAAGACCAGGUUCUUACAAGUAGAGGAAAUGGCUUAGAGGUAAAGGCUUGGAGGUAAAGGGAAUUAUGUAUUCUUGGAACAGAAAGUGGAUCAUUGUGUGUGUAUGUGUGUGUGUGUGCACACCUAUUUGAGUUUAUUGAUGAUGAUGGGGGAAAGCCACAGUCAAUGAACCUAGAGAUAAGUAAGGACCAGAUAACUUAGGGCUCUGUUAAGGCAAGUUAAGGAGUUUAGCUUUUACUCUAAGGACAAUUGGGAACCAUUGAAGUGGAUCAAAUUUUCCAUUUAGAAAGAUAACUCUCCCUGCAGUGUGGAGAAUGGAUUGCAGUGGAAGGAGACAGGAGAGGAACAUCAGUUAGGGGCUGUUGCAGGUGAGAAAUGAAGGAAGCUUUGGGUGAGAAUAAUGGCCAUGGGAGUGAAGAGAACAGGGUGGAUCUAUGAGAUAUGAGGCGGGACAGUCAAUGUACCUUGUGGAUUAAUUGUGGCUCUCACCUUUCAUUUUGGAAGGUUCUACGUGGGUGCAGGUAACAUUUAAUGAGACAGCAGAAGUAGGAGUAGGAGCAAAUAUUGUGUCUAAGGGAGAAGAAGGCAAAUAAAGCUGUAGGUAUGAUAUUUAAGAUGUUAGGAAAGCACUUGGGUAAAGUCAGAUGUUUGGUAGGCAGUUGACUGUAUGAACCUGACACUCAAAUGAGUGGGAUUCGUGCCAUAUUUGGAAGAUUUGGAGUAUAUAUGGUUUUUAAGUCACUAGAAUAGAAGGAGUUAUCAAGGUAGAGUUUGGAGUGAGAAGUGAGGAGGACCCAAGAUCUCUUUGGAUCCCAACAUUGACAUCAAGAGGUUUCCCAGAGGAGAAAGAAGUCCAAGCACUCAUUAAAAAGUAGGAGUAUCAAGGAGAAAAUGACACAGCCUGUCUUAUGAUACUGUAGGGUACCUUGGUGCCGUAAACCAUGCCACUGAGUGAUUAACUCAAGGGGAACUCGUACUGAGAAAAAGAUGAGAACCCAGGACUCAUCUCUGGGGUCUUGCAUUAUUUUCAGGUGACCUUGAAUUUCUGAAAGUCCCCAUGCCAUUGUUUUGGUUUGAAAUGGAGAGAAACGUGUCUUCAGUGAUACACUGUGAAUUACUGACUGCUUUUCCAGACAUCGCAACUGUAACUUUAAUCAUCUGAGUGCUCGUUCUUAUCACAGUUCCAGCAGUGCCCCAGGACUCAUUAAAUUGUUGGGGGUAUUUGAAGGCAUCCCAAUUAAGGACCCAUUUUAUGUGCAUAGUCGAAAUCCUGGAAAUUAUUGUCUCAUUUGAGACACAGGAGUAGGUGCUGAUAUCUGCUAGGAUGAAUGAUAAUGUGGACCCCAGUGAUUUGCUGUCCUUCAUCGUUUGAUCUGCUUUAAUGACCAGAGUGUAAGUCGCCAAUUGUUGUGUGCAGAUAGGUGUUACAAAUGGAGUUGUAAAUUCAGUUCCUUAAAAAAAAAAAAGAGUGGGCAUGAUAUUCUCCCCUGCAGUGCAGUUUAUAGAUGACCCUGGGGCAAAGUGAGAUGAAGCCCAGAAUGCCCUCUGAGGGAUGGAGCGCAUGGCCGUGCACAUGAGCACACACAGACACAGGUUUAGGUUCUCAAAAUUGAUAUAAUUUCUUAGGGGCAUGUUUGUAAAUGAAGAUAUAGAAACUAUUGACAUCCAUUGCUGGGGAAGUUUGAGCAAGGGAACUCAAAGUUUUAUGCAAUUGGAUUUUUAUUAGAAAUUGUGUAUUUGAUGUUUCUUAGUACAGAAAACCUAUGUAUUAUUCUGAGUUCUGGAAAGUCAUUUAGAACGUGGAGCUUUUAAGCUGGUUGGCAUUACUCACUAACACAGAGGGAAACAUUCAUGGUAGUUAAGGAUUUGGAAUCUGCAGAACUAUGUCCACAGCUUGACUUUCUUAUUUAUUAUUGGCCUGACCUUGGAAAAUAUAUACUUAAUGCCUCUGAGACUCACUUUCUGCAUCUUUAAAGCUUCGUUCAUUCAUUCAUUCAUUCAUUCAUUCAUUCAUUUAGAGAGGGAAAGAUAAAGUGUGCAGGGGAGGGGCAGAGAGAGAGGGGGAGAGAGAGAAUCC